rnacentral:rRNA from 1 species
GACGAACGCUGGCGGCGUGCUUAACACAUGCAAGUCGAACGAAGUGGCGAACGGGUGAGUAAUACGUGGGUACCCUGCCCUCCUUUUUGGGAUAAGCCUUGGAAACGGGGUCUAAUACCGAAUAAAGGGGGAUGGGCUCGCGGCCUAUCAGCUUGUUGGUGGGGUGAUGGCCUACCAAGGCGGUUCCGGGUAGCAGGCCUGAGAGGGUGACCGACGACAAGAGUACGACAAGACGGCCAAGACUACGACGGGAGGCAGGAGUGGGUAAUAUUGAAUAAUGGGCGGAAGCCUGAAGCAGCGUAGACGAGUGGGGGAUGAAGGCUUGCGGGUUAAAAACCUCUUUCGCUAGCGAAAGGGUAGGUGAAGAAGAAGCGCCGGCUAACUAAGUGCCAGCCGCCGCGGUAAUUC